ensembl:miRNA dre-mir-7149 dre-mir-7149
AGAAACUGUGAAUCCUACACUGGAAGGUUGAUGUUUUACAGUUCUCUUCCAAGUGUUAUGAGUCAAAGUUUCU